rnacentral:rRNA from 1 species
CCUACGGGAGGCAGCAGUGGGGAAUCUUGCGCAAUGGGCGGAAGCCUGACGCAGCAACGCCGCGUGUGGGAAGACGGCUUUCGGGUUGUAAACCACUUUCAGGGGGGGACGAAGCUUCCGAGGUUAAUAGCCUACGGGGUGACGGUACCCCCAGAAGAAGCCCCGGCUAACUACGUGCCAGCAGCCGCGGUAAUACGUAGGGGGCGAGCGUUGUCCGGAAUCAUUGGGCGUAAAGCGCGUGUAGGCGGCUUGAUAAGUCUGGUGUGAAAUCUUGGGGCUUAACCCCAAGCCUGCACUGGAUACUGUCAAGCUUGAGUCCGGGAGGGGAGAGCGGAAUUCCUAGUGUAGCGGUGAAAUGCGCAGAUAUUAGGAAGAACACCGGUGGCGAAGGCGGCUCUCUGGAACGGUACUGACGCUGAGACGCGAAAGCGUGGGGAGCGAACAGGAUUAGAUACCCUGGUAGUCCACGCCGUAAACGAUGGGCACUAGAUGUGGGCGGUGUCGACUCCGUCCGUGUCGAAGCUAACGCAUAAGUGCCCGCCUGGGAGUACGGCCGCAAGGCUAAAACUCAAAUGAAUUGACGG